GCCCUUGUAGCUCAGUUGGUAGAGCAUCUGAUUUGUAAUCAGAGGGUCGCGGGUUCGAAUCCUGCCGGGGGCA
rfam:Martelella mediterranea DSM 17316 strain MACL11, complete genome.